CCCAGACGCCAGCCUCGCGGUCUUCGCCGCAGCUGCCGCCGGUGCCUCUGCUGCUGCCGAGUUCUGCGAGUAGAACGGCUGAGGCGGGCCGGGGCGGGGCCGGAGUUCCGGCCACUUUGCAGAAUGGAGAUAAUCAGGAGCAAUUUUAAAAGUAAUCUUCACAAAGUGUACCAGGCCAUAGAAGAGGCGGACUUCUUCGCCAUCGAUGGGGAAUUUUCAGGAAUCAGUGAUGGACCUUCAGUCACCGCAUUAACAAAUGGUUUUGACACCCCAGAAGAAAGGUAUCAGAAACUUAAAAAGCAUUCCAUGGACUUCUUGCUAUUUCAAUUUGGCCUUUGCACUUUUAAGUAUGACUACGGAGAUUCAAAAUAUAUAACGAAGUCAUUUAACUUUUAUGUUUUCCCGAAACCCUUCAAUAGAUCCUCACCAGAUGUCAAAUUUGUUUGUCAGAGCUCAAGCAUUGACUUUCUAGCAAGCCAAGGAUUUGAUUUUAAUAAAGUUUUUCGCAAUGGAAUUCCUUAUUUAAAUCAGGAAGAAGAAAGACAGUUAAGAGAACAGUAUGAUGAAAAACGUUUACAAACCAACGGUGCAGGAUCUCUGUCUUAUGUAUCUCCUAACACUUCAAAAUGUCCUGUGACAAUUCCUGAGGAUCAAAAGAAGUUUAUUGACCGAGUAGUAGAGAAAAUAGAAGAUUUAUUACAAAGUGAAGAAAACAAGAACUUGGAUUUAGAGCCAUGUACUGGGUUCCAAAGAAAGCUAAUUUAUCAGACUUUGAGCUGGAAGUAUCCCAAAGGCAUUCAUGUUGAGACUUUAGAAACUGAAAAGAAAGAGCGGUAUAUAGUUGUAAGUAAAGUAGAUGAAGAAGAGCGCAAAAGAAGAGAGCAGCAGAAACAUGCUAAAGAGCAGGAGGAACUGAACGAUGCUGUGGGAUUUUCUAGAGUAAUUCAUGCCAUUGCUAAUUCGGGAAAGCUUGUUAUUGGACACAACAUGCUCUUGGAUGUCAUGCACACAGUUCACCAGUUCUACUGCCCACUGCCUGCGGAUUUAAAUGAGUUUAAGGAGAUGACAACAUGUGUCUUUCCCAGACUUUUGGAUACUAAAUUGAUGGCCAGCACACAACCUUUUAAGGAUAUCAUUAACAAUACAUCUCUUGCGGAAUUGGAAAAGCGGUUAAAAGAGACUCCUUUCAGUCCUCCUAAAGUUGAAAGUGCAGAAGGUUUUCCAAGUUAUGACACAGCUUCUGAACAGCUCCACGAGGCAGGAUAUGAUGCUUAUAUCACAGGACUGUGUUUCAUCUCCAUGGCAAACUACCUAGGUUCUUUUCUCAGUCCUCCAAAAAUUCACGUAUCUGCCAGAUCAAAACUCAUUGAACCUUUUUUUAACAAGUUAUUUCUUAUGAGGGUCAUGGAUAUCCCCUAUCUAAAUUUGGAAGGACCAGACUUACAACCUAAACGAGAUCAUGUUCUCCAUGUGACAUUCCCCAAAGAAUGGAAAACCAGCGACCUUUACCAGCUUUUCAGUGCCUUUGGUAACAUUCAGAUAUCCUGGAUUGAUGACAGGUCAGCAUUUGUUUCCCUGAGCCAGCCUGAGCAAGUACAGAUUGCUGUCAAUACCAGCAGAUAUGCAGAAAGCUAUCGGAUCCAGACCUAUGCUGAAUAUGUGGGAAAAAAACUUGAGGAGAAGCAGAUCAAGAGAAAGUGGACAGAAGAUAGUUGGAAGGAGGUUGAGAGCAAGCGAUUAAAUACUCAGUGCAUAUCCUAUGCAGUGCAGAAUCACUAUUACCGCUCCAAUAGUUUUACAGGCACUGGCACAGGAGGAAAGAGAAAUCUGAGUCCCAGUCAAGCAGAAGCUGUAUUGGAGGACAGAGAGUCAGAGGAAAUUUCAGACACCGAGCUUGAGAAGACAGAUUCCUGUGCAGAAUCCCUCUCAGAAGGGAGGAAAAAGGCCAAGAAAUUAAAAAGAAUGAAGAAAGAGUUUUCUCCAGCAGCUUGCGAGGACCUGAGGCCCUCAAUCCAGCAGCCUCACGAGUGAGCUUGGAAGUGGAUCAUCCCUUAGUCGAGCCCUCAGAGGCCUGCAGCCCUGGCUGGUAUCCUCACUACGACUCACGAGAGACCUGAGCCCGAGGACCCACAGGAGCGACUCACCAAUACUGCAAGGGUUCUGUUACUAAAGAGGCAGGAGAAGGUGGAGACUGGAAAGCCACCAACAGUCACAGCCACCUGUGCCUACCCGUCAGGGCUGCUGCGAGGAUUAAGUGAGGUAAGGCUGGACAGUGCCCGCCUGCCCAAUCUGCCAACACCCAGGAGGUGCCUACGGAGAGGUGGUUGUUCAGUGAAGCUUCCGCUGUCCUGUACCUACUUUCCAGGCUUUUCAUCUGGUGCUUCUAGGAGACACCACUGUGUGGUUUCCUCUGGCUUCCUCUCCCCUUUUACAGGUUAAGCCCCCCACAAAUCUGCCCAUUUGAAUGACUGCACCUGUAAAACUGAGGAUACCCAAGCCCAGCUGGGCUCACAAAAUAGUAAGACUUCAGAAGGAAAGGGGCUUGGCACCCCUCAAAUCCAGUCUCCUCAUUUACAGAUGUGAACCCGAAACUGGCUCAAGGUCACACAGCCUCUUACGGCAGAGGUGGGACCUGAACCCACUACUCUCAGGAGAGAAGCUGGCUCUCAGCUCUGCCCUCUUUCCACACUGCUAAGGCAGAGCCCAGUUUGGGAGCAUUGAUGGAAUUUCCAAUUAAAGAAAAACAAUCACGUUCAACCCAAUUUUCUCUCACGGAGAGGAGUCAAGUUCAGGUGUAUGGGACAUGAGGUGCUUUUUGAUUAAAGGAAGAUUGCAUUUUCUUCUGGUUUUCUUUUAGGAUUUUUGAGUCCUUUCUCUUGCCUCUCUGGCUUGAC